CCUACGGGUGGCAGCAGUGGGGAAUAUUGCACAAUGGGGGAAACCCUGAUGCAGCGACGCCGCGUGAAGGAAGAAGUAUUUCGGUAUGUAAACUUCUAUCAGCAGGGAAGAAAAUGACGGUACCUGACUAAGAAGCCCCGGCUAACUACGUGCCAGCAGCCGCGGUAAUACGUAGGGGGCAAGCGUUAUCCGGAUUUACUGGGUGUAAAGGGAGCGUAGGCGGCGAUGCAAGUCAGAAGUGAAAGCCCGGGGCUCAACUCCGGGACUGCUUUUGAAACUGUGUUGCUAGAGUGCAGGAGAGGUAAGUGGAAUUCCUAGUGUAGCGGUGAAAUGCGUAGAUAUUAGGAGGAACACCAGUGGCGAAGGCGGCUUACUGGACUGUAAAUGACGCUGAGGCGCGAAAGCGUGGGGAGCAAACAGGAUUAGAUACCCUUGUAGUC
rnacentral:rRNA from 1 species